rnacentral:ncRNA from 2 species
GGCUAGCUCUAGUCCAAUCGAUUUUGUCGGGGGCAAAUUUGGAGUAAAGCAUGCUACCUGUU